rnacentral:rRNA from 1 species
GCCAGACUCCUACGGGAGGCAGCAGUGGGGGAUAUUGCACAAUGGGGGAAACCCUGAUGCAGCGACGCCGCGCGGGCGAAGAAGUAUUUCGGUAUGUAAAGCCCUAUCAGCAGGGAAGAAGAAAUGACGGUACCUGAGUAAGAAGCCCCGGCUAACUACGUGCCAGCAGCCGCGGUAAUACGUAGGGGGCAAGCGUUAUCCGGAUUUACUGGGUGUAAAGGGGGCGCAGACGGCGAUGCAAGCCAGGAGUGAAAGCCCGGGGCCCAACCCCGGGACUGCUCUUGGAACUGCGUGGCUGGAGUGCAGGAGGGGCAGGCGGAAUUCCUGGUGUAGCGGUGAAAUGCGUAGAUAUCAGGAGGAACACCGGUGGCGAAGGCGGCCUGCUGGACUGCAACUGACGUUGAGGCCCGAAAGCGUGGGGAGCAAACAGGAUUAGAUACCCCAGUA